CCUACGGGAGGCAGCAGUGGGGGAUAUUGCACAAUGGGGGAAACCCUGAUGCAGCGACGCCGCGUGUGGGAAGACGGUCCUCUGGAUUGUAAACCACUUUCCCCAGGGACGACGAUGAUGGUACCUGGGGAGGAAGCUCCGGCUAACUACGUGCCAGCAGCCGCGGUAAUACGUAGGGAGCGAGCGUUGUCCGGAAUUACUGGGUGUAAAGGGAGCGUAGGCGGGGAUGAAAGUUGGGUAGAAAAACUACCGGCUAAACUGGUAGUCGCACUCGAAACUGGAGCUCUUGAGUGAAGUAGAGGCAGGCGGAAUUCCUAGUGUAGCGGUGAAAUGCGUAGAUAUUAGGAGGAACACCAGUGGCGAAGGCGGCCUGCUGGGCUUUUACUGACGCUGAGGCUCGAAAGUGUGGGGAGCAAACAGGAUUAGAUACCCUUGUAGUC
rnacentral:rRNA from 1 species